UUUGGUUAAGUUAGAAAGGGCGCACGGUGGAUGCCUUGACACUAGGAGUCGAUGAAGGACGGGACUAACGCCGAUAUGCUUCGGGGAGCUGUAAGUAAGCUUUGAUCCGAAGAUUUCCGAAUGGGGAAACCCAC
rnacentral:rRNA from 1 species